CACUGUCUGAGGUCUUCAUAUGGUUUUCUCAUUGAAUCCUCACCGCACCCCAUGAGUUUCAUUCCAGGCCAACAAAGUGAUGUUGGAGAGGAGGCAUUCUGAAAUCCCCAGCAAGUCCAGAUGGGUAACCUGGGCUGUUCAGGACCAGUUACAGGCACAGAGGCAGCACAUGCAAAACGAGCCCGAACACCAGUGCCAGCCCUUCCACUAGAGCUGCAGGGGUGCCUUUAUUUUAUCUUCUCAUUUUUCCUCUUCUGAAAAAAUCUCUGCUGCUUUAUCUGAGAGGUGUUUUCCAGAAGCUGAAGGUUGAUGCUGAACUGCUGAAGCUGGAGGAGCCAGAUGACAAAGAGCAUGUUCUAGGCUUGAAUCCAAACAGACUUUUCAAGAUCUCUAAAUUCCUUCAGAGAUGCUUAGAGGGAUAGAAUGCAGCUGAAUCACAGUCUCCCAACCAGAUCUUCCUUACCCGUGCUGAAUAAUCUGGAGAUGGUGCUGGCAAAAGUCAGUAGAGACAGAGAGAGCUCAAAGCUCCCAGGAGCAUCCUGAUUCUGGCAGAAGCAGGAGCAGAGAGUUUAGAAUCAUGAGAUCAUCAUAAACCCCCUUCUUGGAAGAUCUCAGGACCUCAGACCACAGAAAUUACCCUCCACUUCAGUUUUGCCAUCCAUCAUACUAAGGCAGAAACACAUCUCACCUUCCUGCUACUCAAGAAUUGGCAAAUAAAGGCAAAAUCUCGCCCCUCUCUGAGAUUCUCAAAGAACAGUGUUUGACUCUGUUCAGUGGGGUUUUCCAGGGCCAAAAAUGCCUGUGGGAUUGAUUUUGGAGUCCCAGCAACCCUCAUCUCUUAGUCCUUAUAUUGCAUGCAGGUCCACAGGAAGAGAGGGUUGGCACUCAAAGGAUCACAGUUUCUAUCCCACGUCAUCACUCUUACUGACCACUCUGGCUCUGGGGAUGCUGCAUCUCUCUGAAAUCCACCCAGUUGCGGGAAAUACUGAGAGUUUAGGCCUACUUCCCAUUAUCUGAAUAAAAUAGAUAACAUCGUUUUUUCUUUUCCAAGAAAAUGGAAAUCAAGCCCACUGUUUUGUGUUAUCAGUUUAACCGCUGAGUUGAGGUGUCACCAGCAAGUACUGAGCUUUAACUGUUUCCAAAUGGGGCUUCUGAGAGGCACUGAGUUGGCAUCUACCAAGGACUUGGUCUACACAUAGAGGGAAGACAGAGACCAGGAAACACUCAUCUUUCUGCAAUUCAACUCUGGGCUCCAUCUUGAAGGAAAUGAAUGCAUGAAGAACAUUCUUAACCUAGUAUGUCUACGGCCAUACCACCCUAGGCGUGCCCAAUCUCGUCUGAACCCAGUACGUGACAUGCCCUAUGCUGAUGCUUUCAUAUGCGUUACCUUAUUUAAUCCUCAUGACUUCCACAUUAAUAAUAAUUACCUAUGAUGUGAGAGGGUCAUUAUACCAAUUUUAUGAAGAAAAUAUGGCUCAAAGAAAUAAUUUUUAAGUAGCAACACCAACAUUUGGAAUCUUCUUGAAACUUCUAACUCCUAGAAGACCACCAUGCUGUAUUUUUGGUCUACAAAUUUAAAUGGAAUAGUAUCUAAUGUUGGGGAAAACGGGAGGAAUGAAGGGUGACUGCUAAAGAGUACAGGAUUUCUUUUAGUGGUGAUGAAAAUGUUCUAAAAUUGACAGUGAUGACCAUUGCUCAACUCCAUGAGGACUCUAAAAUUCAUUGAAUUGUAUAUUUUAAAUGGGUGAAUUGUAUGGCAUGUGAGUUAUAACCACACAGAGCUGUUACAAAUAAGUAAUAUUUAAUGGAGGCCUCUUCCCACCCUACUCUACAACAGUCACAAAAACCUCUCAAUUUUCCCAUAUAUCCUGAAGUAGAAGGGCUUGCCUUUUAUCUCUUUGUAAUUUUAUGUAGUGGACAAUAAACAAAUGGCUGAUUGUAAUGAUGAAAAAGAUCCAAAUUUCUCCAGUAAAGUUGGGGGAGAAAUGCCCAGUUACAAGCAGCUGAAUGGAGGUCAGAGAGAACCAUAAUCCCAGAUAAAAAAUAAGCAGGCAAAAUUUUCUGUAGCACAAUCCCUCUCUCAUUUCAAGAAUCUGCCCACACGCUCCUCACACCUCCUCCUCUCCUGUCACUACCACCAUGAUCUUGUGGUUACACAAUUUCAUUCAGAGUCAAAAUUAGAAAUUAACUAAAGAAGCUAUGGUAUGGUAUUUUAUUCUAAGAUGUCAUCUCUUUUCAAAUGAAUCAUCAAUUUAAUAACAGUUUUCCAAGUGUUAAAAAUGUGGGGUAAAAAUGCAUUUUAGAAUCAAAGAAAUGUACUAAUCCCUAUGAAGAUGGUAAUCCAAUUAAAGUGUAAUUUCUCCAUAUUUGAAGACAUUUUCAGUGCAUGAAAAUGCUUUUUAGAAUCAGAGGGCUAAUGAAUGUUUAAUGAUGUAAAUCUAUGCCUGACACAAUAGAAGAACGACUGGUGUUUAUUGUUUAGGAUGGAGGGGGCCGCUUCCCAGAAUCUAUCGAAUGCCCAAAGCCUGUGCCCUCCCCAUUCAUUUUUCUGGGCUGAACCCUCACUCUCAUUUUCAAGGUUAACAGGGGAAGUAGA
rnacentral:lncRNA from 1 species